AAAGUACUCCUCUGUCCCAAAAUUCUUGUCUUAGAUUUGUCUAGAUACGGAUGUAUCAAGUCACAUUUUAGUAUUAGAUACAUCCGUAUCUAGACAAAUCUAAGACAAGAACUUUGGGACAGAGGGAGUAGUUG
rnacentral:pre_miRNA from 1 species